GAGUUUGAUCAUGGCUCAGGAUGAACGCUGGCGGCGUGCUUAACACAUGCAAGUCGAACGAACCUUCGGGUUAGUGGCGGACGGGUGAGUAACGCGUGGGAAUCUGCCCUCAGGAGGGGGAUAACGGUUGGAAACGACCGCUAAUACCCCAUAUGCCGAGAGGUGAAAUGAAUUUCGCCUGAGGAUGAGCCCGCGUCUGAUUAGCUUGUUGGUAAGGUAAUGGCUUACCAAGGCUUCGAUCAGUAGCUGGUCUGAGAGGAUGAUCAGCCACACUGGGACUGAGACACGGCCCAGACUCCUACGGGAGGCAGCAGUGGGGAAUUUUCCGCAAUGGGCGAAAGCCUGACGGAGCAACGCCGCGUGAGGGACGAAGGCCUCUGGGCUGUAAACCUCUUUUCUCAAGGAAGAAGAUAUGACGGUACUUGAGGAAUAAGCCACGGCUAAUUCCGUGCCAGCAGCCGCGGUAAUACGGGAGUGGCAAGCGUUAUCCGGAAUUAUUGGGCGUAAAGCGUCCGCAGGCGGCCUUUCAAGUCUGCUGUUAAAACGUGGAGCUCAACUCCAUCAUGGCAGUGGAAACUGAUCGGCUUGAGUAUGGUAGGGGCAGAGGGAAUUCCCGGUGUAGCGGUGAAAUGCGUAGAUAUCGGAAAGAACACCAGUGGCGAAGGCGCUCUGCUGGGCCAUAACUGACGCUCAUGGACGAAAGCCAGGGGAGCGAAAGGGAUUAGAUACCCCUGUAGUCCUGGCCGUAAACGAUGAACACUAGGUGUCGGGGGGAAUCGACCCCUUCGGUGUCGUAGCUAACGCGUUAAGUGUUCCGCCUGGGGAGUACGCACGCAAGUGUGAAACUCAAAGGAAUUGACGGGGGCCCGCACAAGCGGUGGAGUAUGUGGUUUAAUUCGAUGCAACGCGAAGAACCUUACCAGGGUUUGACAUCCUGCGAACCUUCAAGAAAUUGAAGGGUGCCUUCGGGAACGCAGUGACAGGUGGUGCAUGGCUGUCGUCAGCUCGUGUCGUGAGAUGUUGGGUUAAGUCCCGCAACGAGCGCAACCCACGUUUUUAGUUGCCAGCAUUUAGUUGGGCACUCUAGAAAGACCGCCGGUGAUAAACCGGAGGAAGGUGUGGAUGACGUCAAGUCAUCAUGCCCCUUACAUCCUGGGCUACACACGUACUACAAUGCUACGGACAAAGGGCAGCAAACUCGCGAGAGCUAGCAAAUCCCAUAAACCGUGGCUCAGUUCAGAUCGUAGGCUGCAACUCGCCUACGUGAAGUAGGAAUCGCUAGUAAUCGCAGGUCAGCAUACUGCGGUGAAUACGUUCCCGGGCCUUGUACACACCGCCCGUCACACCAUGGAAGUUGGCCACGCCCGAAGUCGUUACUUUAACCCUUGUGGAGAAGGACGCCGAAGGUGGGGCUGAUGACUGGGGUGAAGUCGUAACAAGGUAACC
rnacentral:rRNA from 1 species